rnacentral:rRNA from 1 species
UAGCGGCGAGCGAAGCGGGAAGAGCUCAAAUUUGUAAUCUGGCGUCCUCAGGGCGUCCGAGUUGUAAUCUAUAGAGACGUUUUCCGUGCCGGACCGUGUCCAAGUCCCUUGGAACAGGGUAUCAAAGAGGGUGACAAUCCCGUACUUGACACGACGACCGGUGCUCUGUGAUACGUUUUCUACGAGUCGAGUUGUUUGGGAAUGCAGCUCAAAAUGGGUGGUAAAUUCCAUCUAAAGCUAAAUAUAGGCGAGAGACCGAUAGCGAACAAGUACCGUGAGGGAAAGAUGAAAAGCACUUUGGAAAGAGAGUUAAACAGUAUGUGAAAUUGUUGAAAGGGAAACGAUUGAAGUCAGUCAUGUCCAUUGGAUUCAGCUGGUUCUGCCAGUGUAUUUCCUUUGGACGGGUCAACAUCAGUUUGAGCCGGCGGAUAAUGGCAGAGGGAAUGUGGCACCCCCGGGUGUGUUAUAGCCCUUUGUCGCAUACGUCGGCCCAGACUGAGGAAUGCAGCUCGCCUUUAUGGCCGGGGUUCGCCCACGUACGAGCUUAGGAUGUUGGCAUAAUGGCUUUAAACGACCCGUCUUGAACCACGGACCAAAA